GGGUACGACCAUGCUUGGCCGAAUGCAACAUAUCCCGUCCGAUUUGUGAAGUUAAGCGGCCACAGGCCUCGUUAGUACGGAGAUCGCUUACUACAGCGCUGGAACCCGGGACGCCGUACCCU
rnacentral:rRNA from 1 species